AUGGCUACCGGUAGUGAUGCUGGAAAGUCCGCUGAGGCAGUGUUGGAGUGGCCUAAGCAGGACAAAAAGAGGAUGCUGCAUGCUGUUUACCGUGUGGGAGAUCUCGACCGCACAAUUAAGUGUUACACAGAAUGCUUUGGGAUGAAGCUGCUGAGGAAAAGAGAUGUCCCCGAAGAGAAGUACACCAAUGCCUUUCUUGGAUAUGGACCUGAGGAUACUAAUUUUGCACUUGAGCUGACUUACAUGACAAGACUGGCAAACGAACGGGAUUAUGGUGUUGACAAGUACGACAUUGGAGCGGGCUUUGGACAUUUUGCCAUCGCAAAUGAGGAUGUGUACAAGCUGUCUGAGACAAUUAAAUCAUCUGAUUGUUGUAAGAUCACUCGUGAACCUGGUCCUGUCAAGGGAGGGUCCACUGUGAUUGCCUUUGCACAAGACCCAGAUGGUUACAUGUUUGAGCUUAUCCAGAGGGGUCCGACGCCUGAGCCUCUCUGUCAAGUUAUGCUUCGUGUUGGUGACCUUGAUCGGGCUAUCAUGUUCUAUGAGAAGGCCCUUGGGAUGAAGCUUCUGAGGAAGAAGGAUGUGCCUCAGUAUAAGUACACUAUUGCCAUGAUGGGCUAUGCUGAGGAGGACAAGACCACUGUUCUGGAGUUGACAUACAACUAUGGUGUCACGGAAUAUAACAAGGGCAAUGCAUAUGCUCAGGUUGCUAUUGGCACUGACGAUGUGUACAAGAGCGCUGAAGCAGUUGAGCUGGUUACCAAAGAACUAGGUGGAAAGAUUCUAAGGCAGCCAGGGCCACUGCCGGGGCUGAACACCAAAAUCACCUCUUUCCUUGACCCAGAUGGCUGGAAAGUGGUUCUGGUGGAUCAUGCGGACUUCCUCAAGGAACUCCACUGA
rnacentral:rRNA from 1 species